rnacentral:rRNA from 1 species
GACAGAGGUGGCAAGCGUUGUUCGGAAUUACUGGGCGUAAAGGGCGCGUAGGUGGUUCGUCAAGUCCCGUGUGAAAGCCCCCGGCUCAACUGGGGAACGGCGCGGGAAACUAGCGGACUUGAGUUCGGGAGAGGGAAGCGGAAUUCCGGGUGUAGCGGUGAAAUGCGCAGAUAUCCGGAGGAACACCGGUGGCGAAGGCGGCUUCCUGGACCGACACUGACGCUGAGGCGCGAAAGCUAGGGGAGCAAACGGG